rnacentral:rRNA from 1 species
UACGGGGGGGGGCAAGCGUUGUUCGGAAUUACUGGGCGUAAAGGGCGCGUAGGCGGUCCGCUAAGUUGGAUGUGAAAACUCUGGGCUUAACCCAGAGCCUGCAUUCAAAACUGACGGGCUAGAGUUCUGGAGGGGGUAGCGGAAUUCCUGGUGUAGCGGUGAAAUGCGUAGAUAUCAGGAGGAACACCGGUGGCGAAGGCGGCUACCUGGACAGAAACUGACGCUGAGGCGCGAAAGCUAGGGGAGCAAACAGG